rnacentral:rRNA from 1 species
AACGAACGCUGGCGGCAUGCCUAACACAUGCAAGUCGAACGAUGCUUUCGGGCAUAGUGGCGCACGGGUGCGUAACGCGUGGGAAUCUGCCCUUGGGUUCGGAAUAACAGUGAGAAAUUGCUGCUAAUACCGGAUGAUGUCUUCGGACCAAAGAUUUAUCGCCCAGGGAUGAGCCCGCGUAGGAUUAGCUAGUUGGUGGGGUAAUGGCCUACCAAGGCGACGAUCCUUAGCUGGUCUGAGAGGAUGAUCAGCCACACUGGGACUGAGACACGGCCCAGACUCCUACGGGAGGCAGCAGUGGGGAAUAUUUGACAAUGGGCGCAAGCCUGAUCCAGCAAUGCCGCGUGAGUGAUGAAGGCCUUAGGGUUGUAAAGCUCUUUUACCCGGGAUGAUAAUGACAGUACCGGGAGAAUAAGCUCCGGCUAACUCCGUG